rnacentral:rRNA from 1 species
UACGUAGGGUGCGAGCGUUGUCCGGAAUUAUUGGGCGUAAAGAGCUCGUAGGCGGUGUGUCACGUCGGCCGUGAAAACCUGCAGCUUAACUGUGGGCGUGCGGUCGAUACGGGCAUCACUGGAGUUCGGCAGGGGAGACUGGAAUUCCCAGUGUAGAGGUGAAAUUCGUAGAUAUUGGGAAGAACACCGGUGGCGAAGGCGGCGCUCUGGACCGAGACUGACGCUGAGGCGCGAAAGCGUGGGGAGCAAACAGG